CAAGGUUUGGUUCAGCUUCAACUACCAAUAUGAAUCCAAGCUUCAUCAAUGGGUGCAAUAAUAUUACCAACAUUAACCCUCAUCAUCAACCACCAAGAAUCCCUCAUUUUAUACCAAUGUUUCAGCAAGAAUUUGCUGGCUCAGACCCUGCUGCCGCCAACAAUUCUCAUCUCAAUUCCAAUGCUUUUAUGCCGGAAUUGGUGGCGACAGCUUCUAUGGACAUGUUUGGAUCUUCAUCGUCAUCACAGACGCAGUGGCUCAUCAACAACACUAAGUUCCCGGAAGAGGCAUCGUUUAAUCUCUCCAUGUCAUCUUCGUCGUUGGCUCGGGGACUUAAGGAGGAAUUAGAAGAAUCCAAAGGAAGUUUGUCUGGAACGAUAAGUGCUUCUGCUACCUCUUUCUAUAACAACAACAAUCACCAACACCAACCCAUGUCAGCCACAGCACUUUUGCAAAAAGCAGCUCAAAUGGGAUCUACAAGAAGCAGCAACAACAACAACAACAACAACAACAACCCAGCGACAACAUUCAACGACACUGCCUUUGGUUUCAUGAGCACAUCGUCCAAUUCUUCCCACAAUAUGUCAAACCAGCUCAGUUCAUAUGGCCACCACCACAACAAAAAUGAAGUUGAGAGCUUCAAUGAUUUGGUGAAUUCCAUGUCUUCUUCAACUCCAGCAACC
rnacentral:lncRNA from 1 species